GACGAACGCUGGCGGCGUGCUUAACACAUGCAAGUCGAACGGAAAGGCCCUGCUUUUGUGGGGUGCUCGAGUGGCGAACGGGUGAGUAACACGUGAGUAACCUGCCCUUGACUUUGAGAUAACUUCAGGAAACUGGGGCUAAUACCGGAUAGGAGCUCCUGCUGCAUGGUGGGGGUUGGAAAGUUUCGGCGGUUGGGGAUGGACUCGCGGCUUAUCAGCUUGUUGGUGGGGUAGUGGCUUACCAAGGCUUUGACGGGUAGCCGGCCUGAGAGGGUGACCGGCCACAUUGGGACUGAGAUACGGCCCAGACUCCUACGGGAGGAAGCAGUGGGGAAUAUUGCACAAUGGGCGGAAGCCUGAUGCAGCAACGCCGCGUGCGGGAUGACGGCCUUCGGGUUGUAAACCGCUUUCGCCUGUGACGAAGCGUGAGUGACGGUAAUGGGUAAAGAAGCACCGGCUAACUACGU
rnacentral:rRNA from 1 species